rnacentral:lncRNA from 13 species
AGCAGGAGGAGUUCUGGCCACGAUGCUCUAAGAAGGAGAGUUUACAGUUCUGUCUUUGGCAUUAUAAAAUUAAUAUAUUUAUGAAGAGAGCAGGAGGGGACUUUUGGGAUGAAGAAAUUGAGGUCUCAGCACAUACAAACAUCGACUUGACUCAAGAGCCCACACAUGUCAUCGCUGUGUUCUGUGUGACCUCCAGGAUCCUUCGCACUACGGCCUAGAGCUCACUCUUAUUACCCCUGGAAGGGACCAGAACCCCCAUCCCUGGGGAAUGGAGGACCAUCUUCUGCAGUUGGCUGGAUGGACACUGUCCACUGAGAAAUAGGACACCUAGAAGCAGGAGAUCUGGGGAAGAGAAGCCUUGGCAAUGCCCUUCUUGACCUGUUGGAUGAAAAAGGCCUAGUGGGCUGAGCCCCAGUUUUGGGGCAGGAAGGCAAGAUUUGCAGGCCCAAGUCAGCUCCCAUCGCUGAGGCUCUCCCAAGCCUCCUGGGGCAUUUAAGGAGGAGGCUAAUGUCAAACAUGGAGUGGCCCAAUUUCUGUUCGA